rnacentral:rRNA from 1 species
CCUACGGGUGGCAGCAGUGAGGAAUAUUGGUCAAUGGACGAGAGUCUGACCCAGCCAAGUAGCGUGAAGGAUGACUGUCCUAUGGGUUGUAAACUUCUUUUAUAAAGGAAUAAAACGAGGCACGUGUGCCUUUUUGCAUGUACUUUAUGAAUAAGGAUCGGCUCACUCCGUGCCAGCAGCCGCGGGAAUACGGAGGAUCCGAGCGUUAUUCGGAUUGAUUGGGUUUAAAGGGAGCGUAGAUGGGUUGUUAAGUCAGUUGUGAAAGUUUGGGGCUCAACCGUAAAAUUGCAAUUGAUACUGGCAGUCGUGAGUACAGUUGAGGUAAGCGGAAGUCGUGGUGUAGCGGUGAAAUGCGUAGAUAUCACGAAGAACCCCGAUUGCGAAGGCAGCUUACUAAACUGUGACUGACAUUGAUGCUCGAAAGUGUGGGUAGCAAACAGGAGUAGAUACCCCUGUAGUC